UCAAGUGAGCCGUCAUUUGUGAGCCGCGGUCAAGCCAGCCGCAUCUUCUCCGCCGCAUAAAUUUCCUUGCGCUUUUACACCAGUCUUUAAGCUGUGAAUCCAACUGGAUGACGAGCCAGAGUUGUCUGCCCACACAGCGACUGACUCCAAAAAUAGUCUAAGAAUCUUCAAGCUGGGAUACAAGCAUUAAAGAAAAGGAUGUAAAAAGAUUGAAAGUCAACAGGAAGCCAUAGUAUGUUUUUGAUGUAAUGCUUGACAUCCUGAAGGACAUGAUCAUUGACAGUCUUGUGGCAAUACAGGACAAAGACUCUCAUCCCCUCCAUAACUCACUACAUAAUGUGAAGUGCAUUUUCAUUCAUAAAUUACUUCCACCAUGCUCUCUGAGGGAAUGACACACAAUAGAUUUUUCCAUUCAGCUGAUGGUAGACUUUUUUAUUCAUCCACUUGUGUCACACACACAAUUAUUGCACAUGAAUAAACAUAACUCACCGCGCUCUCUAGCUUUUUAUGCACCAAUCUUUACUUGCACACCUGUAACCUUAUGUUGUCUGUUAUAUCUCAGAAACAAAAUAUGUUUAUCGUACAUAUUUUGCUAUUUUUUUAAUUUAUGUUUUUAAUCAUGUUGGUAGAUUGAUCGUCGUAUUUAUAGCUACAUUCUUUCACUUUAUUUGAUACAAUUGCUUGUUUGUGUGUUGUAUGUAUGCUGCUAUGAAUACUCAAUUUCCCUGUCAAAUUAAUAAAGCUUCUCCGAUUCAGA